rnacentral:sRNA from 1 species
ACACGUGAAGGGAGGUGGUCCAAAGUUGUGUAGCACUGGGACUCGUGAGGUGGCUGUCCGCUAGCCGCUGUCCUCGACAGCUUUGGUUGUCUGUCGCCGGGCGAUCCGCCUGACGACAGUUCUCGAAGACCGUCGAGACCGUGUGGCAGCGGUCGCGGCGAAUACCAGACAGCCACCCGACCCCUGGGGAUCCGGCCUUGUCCGACCGGACCUCGUUCGCGCGCGAUGAGCGUUCGGCGAGGAAGUCCCCAGGGGUCGCUUCAU